CCGCAAAGUUGCAGGCAAAGUGGUGACUUCAACUGACACCGGUGCCAUAGCCGUGGGGGGCAGUGGCCAAUCCGCAUCCAUCAGUGUGAAACCGAAAGCCAAACGCCGGUCGAAGCUGACGAGCAAUCAACCGGACACCCCGAUGGCCAGCGGAUAGAUGGAUGACGGGGAGCCCCAACUCCUCCAUAUCGACCCGAACUCACACCAUGUGUAUCCGGGUCAUACAAAUUUCAGACUGCACUCCCAUGAGCUCCCACUUGCUCCUUUCCAGUGAAAGCCUUCCGGGCAUGCUGCUUAAAAGCUCAGCAAAGGUUCGUCUAAUGGAUGCUCCAGGACACCUGUCCGGGUCCGAGUUUUAGGUCCUGGCGAUCCGGCAAAUCCUGCAAAAUUGAGCUGGAUGAAAUCUGUGCAUUCGCUUCGAUUUAGAGCUCUCCAAGGACAGGAUCUGAAACAAGUGUCCUGUACACACAUAUUGAGCUGUUGAUAGUUUGCUUUCUCUCGCUAGAUUUUCACACAUUGUAAGAAAAAUCUAUGACAGGAUGGCACUGGUAUGAAUAAUGCUAAUUGAGUCAAAAACUGGGGAGAAGAAUUUGAGAUGCAUAUUAAAUUGAUUCAUGUGUUGGAUUUCCAGAACUGAAAAUUGUCUAAAAGCUUGCAAUAUCCUUUAGUGAGUUUUA